GACGAACGCUGGCGGCGUGCCUAAUACAUGCAAGUUGAGCGAUGAAGAUUGGUGCUUGCACCAAUUUGAAGAGCAGCGAACGGGUGAGUAACGCGUGGGGAAUCUGCCUUUGAGCGGGGGACAACAUUUGGAAACGAAUGCUAAUACCGCAUAACAACUUUAAACAUAAGUUUUAAGUUUGAAAGAUGCAAUUGCAUCACUCAAAGAUGAUCCCGCGUUGUAUUAGCUAGUUGGUGAGGUAAAGGCUCACCAAGGCGAUGAUACAUAGCCGACCUGAGAGGGUGAUCGGCCACAUUGGGACUGAGACACGGCCCAAACUCCUACGGGAGGCAGCAGUAGGGAAUCUUCGGCAAUGGACGAAAGUCUUACCGCGCAACGCCGCGUGAGUGAAGAAGGUUUUCGGAUCGUAAAACUCUGUUGGUAGAGAAGAACGUUGGUGAGAGUGGAAAGCUCAUCAAGUGACGGUAACUACCCAGAAAGGGACGGCUAACUACGUG
rnacentral:rRNA from 1 species